GGCCAAAGUAGCAAACUUAAUUUAGAAUCGUGUAUUUUUCUCUCAAAGUAAAUAGUUCAUAAUUUAGAGAGCAACAAUAUCUAACAGCUAACACAACAUGUCCAUAAACGCAAACAUCUACUACGGGCUAUGUUUUGUGGAUAAGGGCUGAGCUCAAGUAGACAUUGGGCCUUUGAAUAGGUAUAUCAGCCCAAAGUGAAAGCCCGUUGUUAAUUGUAGGAGAGAGAAAGAACCCUAAAAUGAAGGAGUUGAGGAAUAGGUGAUCUUUUAGAAAGCAACGAAGAGAUCAACAAAAUGUUUUAUCGACGUCGAUUUCCGUCGAUUCCCCUGGUUGCUGGUGCUGUCAUAAUUGGUGUUAUAUCUGGCAAGUCAUUAUUUGGCCCUCCAUUGGAGGAGUAUUGGAAGAAAAGACUCGAGGAGGAAGCUGUGACACCGGCAAGCAAGGAGAGUGACACAAAACCGCAAUAGCAACUGGUACCUUAAUUUCUUGUUUGAUCAUCUUUAUAGCAAUACACACUGCAACAGUGUUAUGCUGAUUGUUGUAAGGAGAAGGUUCAAUAACUGAAGCUUCCCCAGAUUUACCAAUCUUACUGCAUUGUUCACUGUUUCACUCCGAAGCACAAGUUUGAAGUUGCCUAUGCUCAGUUAGCAUCAGGCAUUGUUGAUGUCGGAAUACUAAUUUUUAAAGUUUUCGCUUAAAUGGAACUGUUACCAUGGAAAGAUAGAUACCAUCGAAUUCAUUUAUUCAACAAUUCUUGUUUAUAGUUGAGAUAUAAUACUCCUCUGUUUCAUGUCAA